rnacentral:rRNA from 1 species
CAGCAGUGAGGAAUAUUGGUCAAUGGACGCAAGUCUGAACCAGCCAAGUAGCGUGCAGGAUGACGGCCCUAUGGGUUGUAAACUGCUUUUAUAUGGGGAUAAAGUGGGGAACGUGUUCUCUUUUGCAGGUACCAUAUGAAUAAGGACCGGCUAAUUCCGUGCCAGCAGCCGCGGUAAUACGGAAGGUUCGGGCGUUAUCCGGAUUUAUUGGGUUUAAAGGGAGCGUAGGCCGUUUGGUAAGCGUGUUGUGAAAUGUAGUAGCUCAACUUCUAGAUUGCAGCGCGAACUGUCAGACUUGAGUGCGCACAACGUAGGCGGAAUUCAUGGUGUAGCGGUGAAAUGCUUAGAUAUCAUGAAGAACUCCGAUUGCGAAGGCAGCUUACGGGAGCGCAACUGACGCUGAAGCUCGAAGGUGCGGGUAUCGAACAGGAUUAGA